AUGUCUUACCAGAAGACCCAGCCCACACCCCAGCCCCCAGUAGGCUGUGUCAGGGUCUCCGGCGGCGGCGGCGGCGGUGGCGGUGGCUCAGGUGGCGGCGGAUCCGGCUGCGGUGGCGGUAGCAGCGGUGGUGGCAGCGGCGGCUACUGCCACACCAGCGGCGGCGGCGGCUCCUCCAGCUGCGGAGGCGGCUCCGGCGGUGGCGGUGGCUCCUCCUACUAUCCCAGCCAACAGAAGUACUCUGGCGGCGGCGGUGGCGGCGGCGGCGGCGGCUCCGGCUGCGGCGGCGGCGGCGGCUCCGGGGGCAGCGGGGGUGGCUACAGCUGCGGAGGCGGCUCCGGCGGCGGCUACUACUCCGGCGGCGGCGGCGGCUCCGGCUGCGGCGGCGGCGGCGGCUCCGGGGGCAGCGGGGGUGGCUCCAGCUGCGGAGGCGGCUCCGGCGGUGGCGGUGGCUCCUCCUACUAUCCCAGCCAACAGAAGUAUUCCGGCAGCAGCGGCGGCGGCGGCGGCUCCGGCUGCGGCGGCGGCGGCUCCGGGGGCAGCGGGGGUGGCUACAGCUGCGGAGGCAGUUCUGGAGGCGGCUCUAGCGGCGGCUCCAGCUGCGGAGGCGGCUCUGGUGGCGGCUACUACUCCGGCGGCGGCGGCGGCUCCGGCUGCGGCGGGGGCUACUCCGGGGGCAGCGGAGGUGGCUCCAGCUGCGGAGGCGGCUCCGGCGGUGCGGUGGCGGUGGCUCCUCCUACUAUCCCAGCCAACAGAAGUAUUCCGGCAGCAGCGGCGGCGGCGGCGGCUCCGGCUGCGGCGGCGGCGGCGGCGGCUCCGGGGGCAGCGGGGGUGGCUACAGCUGCGGAGGCAGUUCUGGAGGCGGCUCUAGCGGCGGCUCCAGCUGCGGAGGCGGCUCCGGCGGCGGCUACUACUCCGGCGGCGGCGGCUCCAGCGGCGGCGGCUACUCUUCUCAGCAGUGCGUCCAAGCUCCAUCCCAGCAGAGCAGCGGAGGGGGAUCAUACGGAGGCGGCUACGGCGGCGGCAGCUGCGGCGGCGGCUCCGGCGGUGGCUCCAGCGGUGGCGGCUGCUACCCCAGCGGCGGCGGCUCCAGCUGCGGCGGCGGCUCCGGCGGUGGCUCCAGCGGUGGCGGCUGCUACCCCAGCGGCGGCGGGCUGCAGCUGCGGCGGCGGCUCCGGCGGUGGCUCCAGCGGUGGCGGCUGCUACCCCAGCGGCGGCGGCGGGGGUGGCUCCGGGGGGAGCGGCGGAGGCUCCUCCGGGGGUGGCAAGGGAGUGCCCGUGGCCCACCAGACCCAGCAGAAGCAGGCACCUUGCUGGCCGACCAAGUAA
rnacentral:lncRNA from 1 species